GACGAACGCUGGCGGCGUGCUUAACACAUGCAAGUCGAACGGUAAGGCCCUUCGGGGUACACGAGUGGCGAACGGGUGAGUAACACGUGGGUGAUCUGCCCUGCACUUCGGGAUAAGCCUGGGAAGCUGGGUCUAAUACCGGAUAGGACUCCUGGCUUCAUGGUUGGGGGUGGAAAGCUUUUGCGGUGUGGGAUGGGCCCGCGGCCUAUCAGCUUGUUGGUGGGGUAAUGGCCUACCAAGGCGACGACGGGUAGCCGGCCUGAGAGGGUGACCGGGCACACUGGGACUGAGAUACGGCCCAGACGCCUACGGGAGGCAGCAGUGGGGAAUAUUGCACAAUGGGCGCAAGCCUGAUGCAGCGACGCCGCGUGAGGGAUGACGGCCUGCGGGUUGUAAACCUCUUUCAGCUAUGACGAAGCGCAAGUGACGGUAGUAGCAGAAGAAGGACCGGCCAACUACGUGCCAGCCGCCGCCGUAA
rnacentral:rRNA from 1 species